CGGAUUGCCAGUUGGUUUUUUAUAUUAUCAUUUGAAUGUUGGAAUAGGUUUUAUACCUUUUAUCUGUUAGAGGCCUUUAGGAGAAUUGUAGUUGGGGUUCUGAUGGAUAGUUGGUUUGUUGAAUUUAGGAGGCAUAUUGCUGAAGAAUAUCUUUGCGUUAUUGUGGUGAAGUUGUAUCAAUUUAAUUUCCAUCUUCUCCAAUUUGAAGCCGUAUCAGUUUUUCUAUCCCUUUCAAAGGAAUUUUAAUGAACAUGAUUAUAAUAUAUUUUUCAGGUGUAAUAGUGAUGUUGGUCCAUUGUCUCCAUUUAUAAUUGUUAGCGUUUUCGCUUGAAUUUUUGGUGUCUUUUCUUCAGCAGUUUCACAUGAUUUUGACACAAGGAGAAGUCGAUUGGGUAUGGUGCUUGAUCAUAUAAUAAGGUUUGAUCAAAUAUUGGUUUCAAAAGUGAAUUAUACUUCAUAUUUCGAAUGUUGUACAUUUUUUAAUAUUUCCUUGGAUUUGUCUUAGCAUUUCUCAUUACAUACAUGUUUGGUGUUUAGAUUUCCUUAAAUGUUAAUUUAUAAGCACCUAUGUGUCAAGUUUAUUGUCUCGCUGAAUUAGCUAAUUAUGAAAGAAAAUUUGCUAGAAUCAGUCGUUGACUUUUUUAACCACCAUUUUCUACAUUUUUUGUACAAGCAUCUUUGUUUUCAGCUUAGAAGUUACAAAAUUGUGUGCGUAAAUAUUCUUGAAUUUUUACGUUUACAAUAUAGAUAUAUGCACUCAAAAAUUCAAAAACUAUGUUAUCCAUUAAAAAAAAUUUGCUGCCAAUAUCCCUCUACUCCUAAACGAUAAAGCCAACCAAACCACCAUAGUCUGCGUGAUCAUAAGAUAACAAACAACAUAUAUAUGUAUGUGAGUUUUCAGAUUAAGAUGUUGCUUUUUUAUUUGUUCUUUUAGAUAUUAUUUUGUCUAAAAGUGAAAAGCAUGGGCUUUGAACAAUUUGGGAGACUUCUCUCGACGUGCCUCCGCUGAUUUGGAUGCUCAUAUAGACAAUGAUACAAGAAUCUGAACGAUUUAGUGUGGACUCACGAAUCAAGUGACAAAUAAUUCAUUCGGAAGAUUGUAAAAAUGGUGCAGGAAAUGUAAUAUUUAUGAGACGUUUGGGAGGUGAACUUGCUGAGGGUUUUAGGCCACGAGUAAAGACAGAUGGGUAAGAGAAAAUUGGAAGAAGGAUUAACAUUGUUAGACAUAAGUCAACCACUUCUUAAUGAAAAAUGCUUCAGUGAUUGCGUCGAUACAUUUUACUCAUUCAGUGAAACCACCUAUCUUUUUCUUGGAAAAUGGAGAUGAUGGAGAAACAAUGCGGAGGAAAAUUUUAUUAUGACGUUAUUGGUGACCAGUAUCUCACUAUCACUGUGUUUUUGGGCACGAAACACUUGGAAAUGAAAAGUAAAUUGUCUAUCUAUGCCCAUACGU